rnacentral:lncRNA from 1 species
CAACAAGGGCCUCUUUCCUGGUGGCAUCACAGAUGGACAGAGAGAUCCUGGAACCUCCGCCCACCCCUGUUCCCAUUGCUGGGGCUGGCAGGCUCCCUGAGGUCAGCUUCCUCCCCUUGCCAUGUUCUUUCAAGUCCUGAGAAACAGGCAUGACAAGAGGUGGUGCCUGUUUCACAGAUGAGGAAAACAGAGGCCCAGAGAAGCAAAGAAGCUUGCCCAGGGCCCCUCAGGAGGCGGAGGCAGAGGCCAAGCUGAGAGUCUCUGACUCCGUCUGGUGCCCUGCCGCACAGCUGCCCAACGGCUGCCUGGUCCUGGGCGCCCUGCCGGAGAUGCCGUCCCCAGGCACUCCCACGCAGGGCCCUGCGGCCACGGACACCCUGCAGAGGGAACAAGCCGAGCUGUCCUGCAGCCCUAGCC